rnacentral:rRNA from 1 species
AUUGAACGCUGGCGGCAGGCCUAACACAUGCAAGUCGAGCGGAUGAAGGGAGCUUGCUCCUGGAUUCAGCGGCGGACGGGUGAGUAAUGCCUAGGAAUCUGCCUGGUAGUGGGGGAUAACGUCCGGAAACGGGCGCUAAUACCGCAUACGUCCUGAGGGAGAAAGUGGGGGAUCUUCGGACCUCACGCUAUCAGAUGAGCCUAGGUCGGAUUAGCUAGUUGGUGGGGUAAAGGCCUACCAAGGCGACGAUCCGUAACUGGUCUGAGAGGAUGAUCAGUCACACUGGAACGGGGACACGGUCCAGCCUCCUACGGGAGGCAGCAGUGGGGAAUAUUGGACAAUGGGCGAAAGCCUGAUCCAGCCAGGCCGCGUGUGUGAAGAAGGUCUUCGGAUUGUAAAGCACUUUAAGUUGGGAGGAAGGGCAGUAAGUUAAUACCUUGCUGUUUUGACGUUACCAACAGAAUAAGCACCGGCUAACUUCGUG